rnacentral:rRNA from 1 species
GAUGAACGCUGGCGGCGUGCCUAAUACAUGCAAGUCGAGCGAACAGACGAGGAGCUUGCUCCUCUGACGUUAGCGGCGGACGGGUGAGUAACACGUGGAUAACCUACCUAUAAGACUGGGAUAACUUCGGGAAACCGGAGCUAAUACCGGAUAAUAUAUUGAACCGCAUGGUUCAAUAGUUAUAGACGGUUUUGCUGUCACUUAUAGAUGGAUCCGCGCCGCAUUAGCUAGUUGGUAAGGUAACGGCUUACCAAGGCAACGAUGCGUAGCCGACCUGAGAGGGUGAUCGGCCACACUGGAACUGAGACACGGUCCAGACUCCUACGGGAGGCAGCAGUAGGGAAUCUUCCGCAAUGGGCGAAAGCCUGACGGAGCAACGCCGCGUGAGUGAUGAAGGUCUUCGGAUCGUAAAACUCUGUUAUUAGGGAAGAACAAAUGUGUAAGUAACUAUGCACGUCUUGACGGUACCUAAUCAGAAAGCCACGGCUAACUACGUG